GAGGAAUAUUGGGCAAUGGAGGCAACUCUGACCCAGCCAUGCCGCGUGCAGGAAGACGGCCCUAUGGGUUGUAAACUGCUUUUAUACAGGAAGAAACCCAUCCACGUGUGGAUGGCUGACGGUACUGUACGAA
rnacentral:rRNA from 1 species